rnacentral:rRNA from 1 species
AGCGAGUCUGCCUUGAAGAUCGGAGUGCUUGCACUCUGUGAAACAAGAUACAGGCUAGCGGCGGACGGGUGAGUAACACGUGGGUAACCUGCCCAAGAGAUCGGGAUAACACCUGGAAACAGAUGCUAAUACCGGAUAACAACAGAUGAUGCCUAUCAACUGUUUAAAAGAUGGUUCUGCUAUCACUCUUGGAUGGACCUGCGGUGCAUUAGCUAGUUGGUAGGGUAACGGCCUACCAAGGCGAUGAUGCAUAGCCGAGUUGAGAGACUGAUCGGCCACAUUGGGACUGAGACACGGCCCAAACUCCUACGGGAGGCAGCAGUAGGGAAUCUUCCACAAUGGACGCAAGUCUGAUGGAGCAACGCCGCGUGAGUGAAGAAGGGUUUCGGCUCGUAAAGCUCUGUUGUUGGUGAAGAAGGACAGGGGUAGUAACUGACCUUUGUUUGACGGUAAUCAAUUAGAAAGUCACGGCUAACUACGUGCCAGCAGCCGCGGUAAUACGUAGGUGGCAAGCGUUGUCCGGAUUUAUUGGGCGUAAAGCGAGUGCAGGCGGCUCGAUAAGUCUGAUGUGAAAGCCUUCGGCUCAACCGGAGAAUUGCAUCAGAAACUGUCGAGCUUGAGUACAGAAGAGGAGAGUGGAACUCCAUGUGUAGCGGUGAAAUGCGUAGAUAUAUGGAAGAACACCGGUGGCGAAGGCGGCUCUCUGGUCUGUUACUGACGCUGAGGCUCGAAAGCAUGGGUAGCGAACAGGAUUAGAUACCCUGGUAGUCCAUGCCGUANACGAUGAGUGCUAAGUGUUGGGAGGUUUCCGCCUCUCAGUGCUGCAGCUAACGCAUU